rnacentral:rRNA from 1 species
AGUUUGAUUAUGGCUCAGAUUGAACGCUGGCAGGAUGCUUUACACGCGCAUGCAAGUCGAACGGCAGCACGGACUUCGGUCUGGUGGCGAGUGGCGAACGGGUGAGUAAUGUAUCGGAACGUGCCUAGUAGCGGGGGAUAACUACGCGAAAGCGUAGCUAAUACCGCAUACGCCCUUCGGGGAAGCGAGACUGCUGGGCCUCUCGCACUAUUAGAAACGGCCGAUAUCGGAUUAGCUAGUUGGUGGGUAACGGCUCACCAAGGCGACGAUCAUGGCUGGUUCUUCGAGGACCGUCAACCCGCUGGGACUGAGUUGGCCAGACUCCUACGGGAGGCAGCAGUGGAAUUUUGGACAAUGGAAACCCUGAUCCGGCUGCUCGCGUGUGCGAUGAAGGCCUUCAGGUUGUAAAGCACUUUUGCGGCGGGAAGAAGCAGCUGGGAUACCCCGUGCAACUGACGGUACCUGCAGAAUAAGCACCAAGCUAACUACGUACCAGCAGCCGCGGUAAUACGUAAGAUUGCAGCGUUAAUCGGGAGUACUGGGCGUAAAGCGUGCCAGACGGUUCGGAAAGAAAUGAAAUCCCAGAGCUUUAACGCAGGAACUGCGUUUUUUAACUACCGAGCUAGAAGUGUCCCAGAGGAAGGUGGAAUUCCGUGUAGCAGUGAAAGAGAAUGCGUAGAUAUGCGGAAGGUACCGAUGGCGAAAAUGACCCUCGCAGGACGACUUACUGACGCUCAUGCACGAAAGCGUGGGGAGCAAACAGGAUUAGAUACCCUGGUAGUCCCGCCCCGCGACAGUCAUCGCUAGCUGUUGAGGCCUUCGGGCCUUGAGCAGCGCAGCUAACGCGUGAAGUUGACCGCCUGGGGAGUACGGUCGCAAGAUUAAAACUCAAGGAAUUGGCAGGACCACAAGCAGUGGAUGAUGUGGAUAAUUCGAUGCAACGCGAAAACCUUACCUACCCUUGACAUGUCUGGAAUCCCGAAGAGAUUUGGAGUGCUCGCAAGAGAACCGGAACACAGGUGCUGCAUGGCUGUCGUCAGCUCGUGUCGUGAGAUGUUGGGUUAAGUCCCGCAUAGCUUAGGCGCAACCCUUGUCAUUAGUUGCUACGAAGGGCACUCCUAAUGAGACUGCCCAUUAUAAACCGGAGGAAGAUGAGGAUGACGUCAAGUCCUCAUGGCCCUUAUGGGUAGGGCUUCACACGUCAUACAAUGGUCGGGACAGAGGGUCGCCAACCCGCGAGGAGCCAAUCCCAGAAACCCGAUCGUAGUCCGGAUCGCAGUCUGCAACUCGACUGCGUGAAGUCGGAAUCGCUAGUAAUCGCGGAUCAGCAUGUCGCGGUGAAUACGUUCCCGGGUCUUGUACACGCCCGUCACCAUGGGAGUGGGUUUACCAGAAGUAGUUAACCUAACCGUAAGGAGGGCGAUUGCCACGGUAGGAUUCAUGACUGGGGUGAAGUCGUAACAAGGUAG